AUGAUGAGGCUCAUGUGAACGUCAGAACAGCAGCAAAAAAUCAUUGUUCUCAGAUGAUGCAGUCUUCAAUAUAUUCCUUAAUUUUAGAAAGCAAAGUAUAGGAGAAUCACUUCAAAUGGGAAUGACAAUCUGAAUCUGCGCCUAUCUGUGCACAAACUGCAACAUCCAUCUCAUUGUGCACAUUGUUGUAUGAUCAACACAUCAAUGUGCAUGGAUGUAUAGCACCUUGUCAAAAUCCUCAGGCUCUCAAGUUUCUUUGAAGAUAAAAGUCUUGAG
rnacentral:misc_RNA from 1 species